rnacentral:rRNA from 1 species
GGGCCUAUGGGUACAUUGAAAAUACCCGUUCUCAUCCGAUCACCAAGUUAAGCAAUGUCAGGUCCGGUCAGUACUUGGGAGGGUGACCAUCUGGGAACACCGGGUGCUGUAGGCU